ACCAUCGCCCUGUGCGUGCAGAGGAAACUUCGGUCCAUCCUCUGGCAUUAGCCCGUAGCUGAGUCGAUUUAUGCUAUGAGCCCUAUCCAAUUACGACAGAAGACAGCACAAAACAGCGCAAACCACGAGGAGACCUCUGUGUCGUAUGGUUUGUGUUUCUAUUUCAUCUGACACGCUUCAGGGAGAAAAUAAAUACAAAUGCCACGUUGCACAAAGCUUAUCUGAAUAUUCAACAAUUCAGGACAAAAUAGAAAACUUUGCAAGUUUUUCAGCUGAGUUGAUCAAACUUUCAUGCCUUCAGACCACGGAGGGAGAAAGCGGGACAUCCAAGACUGCUCUGCUGCCAUCUCUUCCUGAUUCAUCCAGAGAGCGUCAACCCAAUCCCACGAGCAGACAGAGGCUGCCCCAGGAGGUAUUUCCUCAGCCCUUUGGAAAAUGCCAGCUAUAAAGGAAAGCUGGGUUUACUGAGAAGUCAGCUGGCAGCCAGCGCAGGACUCUGCGCACAGGUCUCCCAGAGAGCAGCUUUGCCUGAUGAGCAGGAAUUAAAAUUUUGUUUUGUAGGACUUCUGUAAGACCUCUCUACACACAUGAGGCUGAGCACUCACCAGGAGGAAGAAACACAGCCAGAUUACCCUUGGAAAUAAGGCCUGUUCCAAAUAAUUCAGGUCAGUAAUGGAGGAAGGUGUGUAGAGGAGAAGGACUAAUAAACAAUGGGAAGGAAGCCUAUGAGGACACAAGCCUAGUGAAACCCCAUAGAUGACCGUGCAGCUAGAUGACAGAAGAUAAACAUUUCUUGGAAGCAAUUUCUGGGGUAUACAGACUUCUGCAAGCAAGAACACGGAGUGGGACCGUGAAGUAGCAUCACGAAGUCCUUCAUCUGAGUUACCAGCAGCAGGAAAAACAGAAGAGAAGGUGAUGGAGCCAGGCCUCAGUAAGCAGCAAAAGACCUGUUCGGUCUAUGGCACCAGGGAAUAAGCGUUGUUAAUCGUCUAAACUCAACACAUUUUGAAAAGAUAAAUCUGUCCGUCUCAAUUAUUAACAUGUCUCUAAAUUUAACCUCAAAAUGUACACAAUAUGGUUAUUUUCAUCAAUUGUGCUGCCACUCUGUCUUCUGAGUACAGUCCAGCGUUCCUCUGUCCAAAUCCUCUUCUUCGCCCUGCCAGAUAAGCCGCGGUGCCUCACUUUGUCACCGGAUUGAUGUGCACCGCUACAGAGUGGCUAUGCAUCUCACUACAGAGGUGGGCAUCUUCCUAUGUUGGGUGAAA